rnacentral:rRNA from 1 species
UAAUUGAAGAGUUUGAUCAUGGCUCAGAUUGAACGCUGGCGGCAGGCCUAACACAUGCAAGUCGAGCGGUAGCACAAGGAGCUUGCUCCUGGGUGACGAGCGGCGGACGGGUGAGUAAUGUCUGGGAAACUGCCCGAUGGAGGGGGAUAACUACUGGAAACGGUAGCUAAUACCGCAUAACGUCUUCGGACCAAAGUGGGGGACCUUCGGGCCUCACACCAUCGGAUGUGCCCAGAUGGGAUUAGCUAGUAGGUGAGGUAAUGGCUCACCUAGGCGACGAUCCCUAGCUGGUCUGAGAGGAUGACCAGCCACACUGGAACUGAGACACGGUCCAGACUCCUACGGGAGGCAGCAGUGGGGAAUAUUGCACAAUGGGCGCAAGCCUGAUGCAGCCAUGCCGCGUGUGUGAAGAAGGCCUUCGGGUUGUAAAGCACUUUCAGCGAGGAGGAAGGGUUC